rnacentral:rRNA from 1 species
UACGUAGGGCGCAAGCGUUGUCCGGAAUUAUUGGGCGUAAAGGGUGCGUAGGCGGUUUGAUAAGUCAUCUGUGAAAUCCCUGGGCUCAACCCAGAGUCUGCAGGCGAAACUGUCGGGCUUGAGUAUGGGAGAGGUGAGUGGAAUUUCCGGUGUAGCGGUGAAAUGCGUAGAUAUCGGAAGGAACACCUGUGGCGAAAGCGGCUCACUGGACCACUACUGACGCUGAUGCACGAAAGCUAGGGGAGCAAACAGG